UCCCUGGUGGUCCAGUGGUUAGGACUUGGCACUUCCACUGCAGAGGACACAGGUUCAAUCCCAGGUUGGGGAA
rfam:Ovis aries breed Texel chromosome 1, whole genome shotgun sequence.